AGAAAGUUCACAAAAUUCUCGGAAACGAAAGUACUGCAGUCUUCAAAGCACGUUCCUUCUGUCAGUCGCGGUUUUUUUAGCGUCCUUUCGCCAUGAAAACCUUGACAAAAGCAGUUUGUUGGAGUGCGAUAACUCUCUGCGUAUGUUUUAUCGCGAUCGGUGCCGAAACGACCACAGCAAAGCCCAAAACAACUUCAAGUCCGACACCAACUCGACCGAACACCACUGCGACGACUUCCCCGACACCCACUCCAAAGCUUAGCUGCGAGAAACGAAAUUCUUGUUGUGGACCGUGCACCGAUGAUUACGAAUGCUACUGGUGUGAGCCGGACUCGACUUGUAAGCCGUACAAAGUCAGUAUCUCUCAACUGACCCCGAAAGGGUGCAAAGGAAACAAGUGGUAUUUGAAACAAUGUGCCGUUCCAGGCUAUGUGUUGAUCAUUGUUGUGCCGUCACUUGUGGGUGUCAUCCUCAUCAGCCUUGGAUGUUGCAUAUACUGCUGUUACCGCCGCAUCCGGAGGAGGAAAGGAUAUAAACGGGAGAAAGACAGAAUCAGACGGAGGGAGAAAAAACGUCAGCGCAGCCAGGAGAAGCAUCUUCUCACUAAUACGGAUGAUGAAAAUGAAAAUCUCUAAAGCUUGAAUCACAGGUUGAUUAGUUGGGGACCACUGUAUCAUACUAGUGCCAUGGGAAAUGUGCUCUGAUAUUCUUCCUUGCUUUGGGAAUCAUCAAUACCAUACAUCAUUUAUAGUAGCAUUUGUACCUUGAACUUGACAAAUUUUUUCUUGAAAUUUUCGUCCGACUAUCAUAGAUUUAGAGAACAGUAGGUUUGGUUUAGUAUUCUACCAUUGUAAGGAAAGGAUAAUGAACAGAUGGCGAUGAGUACACAGGAUCUCAGAUGCCAAAAGGUAGAUCAUUUCUUAUGAUCCCCCCCCCCUUGCAAAUCUGUAUCCAUAUAACACCCAUGACUGUGUACCAUCCCCCUACCCCUAGCAAAUCUGGGUACAUGCCAAGGGAGAUAAUGAGUGGUUCUCAUAAAGCUGUGAAACACACUUUAGCUUAUUUAGCACUAAUACACUCUCAUGUAUUUGAUCUCCCUUGUGCUGGCUUUAUUACACUUUCAAUAUUUCCAUUUGUUUCACAGGUUUAUGAAAACCAGUUUAAAUUCACUCAUUGAUUGAGUGUUAUUUCCAUUUUUCAAUUUAUUUAAGGUGUAGCAAAUACAACAAGGUGUAUCAAGUGUAGCAAAUAGGUAUCUAACCUAGGAUUUUUUCAUAUUUUUUUCAUAAAUUUUCUAAUUUUCACAUGAAAAGUACAUUCUAGUAAUAGCUUUUUUGUAAAUAUUAUUUCUAUAGCAUUGAGAUCCCCAUCACCACAAAAAUCUUGUAAAUACUAAAUCGUUUGAUAAAAAUAAAGGAAUAUAUAUUACCAAUAUAGUAUGUAUGCCAGCACGAAGCAAACAGCUAAGCUGCAAUACGCAUAUAUGAGCAGCAAUAAUUCAAAUGCACUCGUAGGCAAACCUGUCUUGUUUACACUGUAAUGGGGGACCAUGAGGGAGGUGUCCUUCCUGUUUUAAAGGAAAUGUGUAGGAGUCCAAAUUUCCCCCAGACCUAUUUUUCAUAUUUUGAUGCUCAUUUUUUAAGGUGGCACCCACCACCCUCAUCUUGAGAAAUUCUUGAGUUGAGUUAAAGAAAUUUGAGUUGAAGAAAUGUUGAUGCAUUGAGUUGAAGAAAUUUUGGUGCAAUGUAUGUCAGUCUGUGAGUGGUGUAUGUACCACCAAAAAGAUGCAGUAAAACAAUUAGAUUGUAAGAAUAGUCUAUUUGAAAGGGAUUGUUUUUUUUUUAUAUUUUUGAAUUGAUUAAAUGACAGUAAAAACGC